GGAUGGUCAGCCACAUCGGGACUGAGACACUGCCCGGACUCCUACGGGAGGCUGCAGUCGAGAAUCUUUCCCAAUGGACGAAAGUCUGAGGAUGCGACGCCGCGUGGGGGAUGAAGGUUUUCGAAUUGUAAACCCCUUUUAUUGAGGAGCAAAAGUCGCCUUUUGAAUAAGGGGGCGAAAUUGACUGUACUCUAUGAAUAAGCCACGGCUAACUCCGUGCCAGCAGCCGCGGUAAUACGGAGGUGGCAAGCGUUACUCGGUUUGACUGGGUGUAAAGGGUCCGUAGGCGGCCAGGCAAGUGAAAGGUGAAAUCCUUCGGCUUAACCGGAGAAUGGCCUUUCAAACUGUUUGGCUUGAGGCUGGAAGAGGAAAGUGGAACUGCUAGUGUAAGGGUGAAAUCUGUGGAUAUUAGCAGGAAUGCCUGUGGUGUAGACGGCUUUCCGGUCCAGACCUGACGCUCAGGGACGAAAGCUAGGGGAGCGAACAGGAUUAGAUACCCUGGUAGUCUUAGCUGUAAACGAUGGGCACUAGGUGUCUGUCCGUAAGGAUGGGUGUCGUAGCUAACGCGUUAAGUGCCCCACCUGGGGACUACGGCCGCAAGGCUAAAACUCAAAGGAAUUGACGGGGACCCGCACAAGCGGUGGAACACGUGGUUUAAUUCGAUGCUACGCGAGGAACCUUACCAGGGUUUGACAUGCUGGAAGUAAUCGCCCGAAAGGGUGGGUGACUUGUAUCCAAUCAAGAACCAGCACAGGUGCUGCAUGGUUGUCGUCAGCUCGUGCCGUGAGGUGUUCCCUUAAGUGGGAGAACGAGCGCAACCCUCGCCUUUUGUUGCUAUUCCGGAGCUUGUCUUUGGAAGCACUCUAAAGGGACUGCCCGCAUUAAGUGGGAGGAAGGUGGGGACGACGUCAAAUCAGCAUGGCCCUUAUGUCCUGGGCUACACACGUGUUACAAUGCCUACUACAAUGGGGGGCCAAAUCGUAAGAUGGAGCAAAUCUCAAAAAAGUAGGCCCAGUUCGGAUUGAGGGCUGCAACUCGCCCUCAUGAAGCUGGAAUCGCUAGUAAUGGCGCAUCAGCAACGGCGCCGUGAAUACGUUCCCGGGUCUUGUACACACCGCCCGUCAAGCGCUGAAAGUGGGGGGCACCCGAAGCUCCGAUUAUUCGGAGUCACGGUGAAUUUCAUGAUUGGCGCUAAGUCGUAACAAGGUA
rnacentral:rRNA from 1 species